rnacentral:misc_RNA from 1 species
CCAAUAGCGUAUAUUAAAGUUGUUGCGGUUAAAAAGCUCGUAGUUGAAUUUCGGGGUUAGUAGGUUGGUCAUGCCUCUGGUAUGUACUGGUCUCACUGAUUCCUCCUUCCUGAUGAACCGUAAUGCCAUUAAUUUGGUGUUGCGGGGAAUUUGGACUGUUACUUUGAAAAAAUUAGAGUGCUUAAGGCAAGCUAACGCUUGAAUACAUUAGCAUGGAAUAAUGAAAUAGGACGUUCGAUCCUAUUUUGUUGGUUUCUAGGAUUGACGUAAUGAUUAAUAGGGAUAGUUGGGGGCGUUAGUAUUCAAUUGUCAGAGUCGAAAUUCUUGGAUUUAUUGAAGACUAACUACUGCGAAAGCAUUUGCCAAGGAUGUUUUCAUUAAUCAAGAACGAAAGUAAGGGGAUCGAAGACGAUCAGAUACCGUCGUAGUCUUAACCAUAAACUAUGCCGACUAGGGAUCGGAUGAUGUUAAUUUUUUAAUGACUCAUUCGGCGCCUUACG